rnacentral:snRNA from 1 species
GUGCUGCUCACUUGGGCAGCACAUACACUAAAGUCAAAAUAAUACAGAGAAAAUUAGCAUUGACCCUGUACAAGAAUGGCACACAAGUUCAUGAAGCAUUUCAUAUUUUU